UAGGGAAUCUUCGGCAAUGGACGGAAGUCUGACCGAGCAACGCCGCGUGAGUGAAGAAGGUUUUCGGAUCGUAAAGCACUGUUGUAAGAGAAGAACGAGUGUGAGAGUGGAAAGUUCACACUGUGACGGUAUCUUACCANAAAGGGACGGCUAACUACNUGCCANCAGCCGCGGUAAUACGUAGGUCCCGAGCGUUGUCCGGAUUUAUUGGGCGUAAAGCGAGCGCAGGCGGUUAGAUAAGUCNGANNUUAAAGGCUGUGGCUUAACCAUANUACGCUUUGGAAACUGUUUAACUUGAGUGCAAGAGGGGAGAGUGGAAUUCCAUGUGUAGCGGUGAAAUGCGUAGAUAUAUGGAGGAACACCGGUGGCGAAAGCGGCUCUCUGGCUUGUAACUGACGCUGAGGCUCGAAAGCGUGGGGAGCAAACAGGAUUAGAUACCCUGGUAGUCCACGCCGUAAACGAUGAGUGCUAGGUGUUAGACCCUUUCCGGGGUUUAGUGCCGCANCUAACGCAUUAANCACUCCNCCNGGGGAGUACGACCGCNNGGUUG
rnacentral:rRNA from 1 species